AUUUUUCUACCAGGUUAAUGCCUGCAAUGGUUUCUAUUGUGACUGGUUUUCGCCAAAUAAGGCUUAUAAACCCAAGAUGUGGACCGAAGCCUGGACUGCUUGGUUUACUGAAUUUGGAGGUCCAGUACCUUACCGUCCAGCUGAGGAUUUGGCUUAUUCUGUUGCAAA